rnacentral:rRNA from 1 species
ACGGGUGAGUAACACGUAUCCAACCUGCCGUCUACUCUUGGACAGCCUUCUGAAAGGAAGAUUAAUACAAGAUGGCAUCAUGAGUCCGCAUGUUCACAUGAUUAAAGGUAUUCCGGUAGACGAUGGGGAUGCGUUCCAUUAGAUAGUAGGCGGGGUAACGGCCCACCUAGUCUUCGAUGGAUAGGGGUCCUGAGAGGAAGGUCCCCCACAUUGGAACUGAGACACAGUCCAA